ACUCCUACGGGAGGCAGCAGUGGGGAAUAUUGGACAAUGGGGGAACCCUGAUCCAGCAAUGCCGCGUGUGUGAAGAAGGCCUGAGGGGUUGUAAAGCACUUUCAACUGUGAGGAUUGGGGAUUUUGGUUAAUACCCGAGAUCCUUGACGUUAGCAGUAGAAGAAGCACCGGCUAACUCCGUGCCAGCAGCCGCGGUAAUACGGAGGGUGCGAGCGUUAAUCGGAAUUACUGGGCGUAAAGCGCAUGCAGGCGGCCUGUUAAGUCAGAUGUGAAAGCCCGGGGCUUAACCUCGGAAUUGCAUUUGAAACUGGCAGGCUAGAGUCUUGUAGAGGGGGUGAGAAUUGAUCAGGUGUAGCGGUGAAAUGCGUAGAGAUCUGAAGGAAUACCAGUGGCGAAGGCGG
rnacentral:rRNA from 1 species